rnacentral:rRNA from 1 species
GACGAACCGUGCAAACGUUGUUCGGAAUCACUGGGCUUAAAGGGCGCGUAGGCGGGCUGCCAAGUCUGGGGUGAAAUCCCACGGCUCAACCGUGGAACUGCCUCGGAUACUGGCGGCCUCGAGGGAGGUAGGGGCGUGCGGAACUGUGGGUGGAGCGGUGAAAUGCGUUGAUAUCCACAGGAACUCCGGUGGCGAAGGCGGCACGCUGGACCUUUUCUGACGCUGAGGCGCGAAAGCCAGGGGAGCAAACGGG